UGUGAGCACACUUCAGUGGGUCAAUCUGAGCCUUUACGACUUGUUCAGUUUACGUGUCAUUCCUUUAUGGAGAAACCUCUGCUCCUUAUGGCACCUUCUCUAGGACGAUAGAUUGACCCAUCUUUGUGAAUCCUCUCACCUCCAGCGAUGCAUUUUUUUAGACAGACUUCAGUAAGUGAAGGUGUUCUCCUUGCUUACACACUGAUUUGUGUGGGACACCUGAAAAGCUUCUUAGUGGCCAUCCAAAGACUGAAUUCUGAUCAGCUUAAUGUCAUUACCCAUAGAGUAAGAUCAUAAGUUAACAUAAGAGCAAUAAAACAAAAAAGAGACCUGAUGAAUUCAUGUCAGCUAGUGCAAGUGGUACAUCUGAUGUUAAAAGUGGUCCCAUGUAAGCAUAAAUUUUGGAAUGACUCAAAUGAAAUGCAGCAAGAGGUCAGUAUAACUUGAGCAUUAAUUUAGAGGUAUGCAUCAAUAAACAAGUCAUAUAAUGACAAUAAGAACAUUCAAUCACAAUUAUGAAGGUAUAUAUAAUAAUCACACUGUUCAUUCAGAGAUUUUCCAUUGCAAGCCACUUUAGAAGAUCUAAGGUUUUUAUGAAGUGACUUAGAAUAUAAUUAAAACAUUUUUCUACAAUGUAAAUCCUAAAUUCCUUGUAACAGGUGUGUGUGUGUGUGUGUGUGUGUGUGUGUGUGUGUGUGUGUGUGUGUGUGUGUGAAUGGGUUUCUGAUAUAAAGGCUAAGUCACAGUUGAUGGUUUGCCAAGUUUAAAAUGUUAUAAUUGAUUGAUAGAGAUGAAGUGCAUGUACUUCAUAUUUGAUCAUUUUAAUAAUGUUUAUUGUCAUUAGAGAUGUGUUGGGAAACCAGGGGCCCUCUGGCUUGUCAACCACCCUAAUAACAAUCAGAAAGAUUAAAUAUUUUAAAUUGUAAAGGCUCGUCUGCUUCUGUUCAAAAUUUGUACCAUCAAUCUGUGACUAUUCGUGCAAAUGUGUGUUACAGUGUUGUUCCAUGAGUUUGCAGACAGUUGCAAAUAGUUAUAUGUGUGUGCCUAUUUUAGCAUGGGAUAAAUUCUAUUGUCCUGUGUGUGUGAGGCUAUGUGGUUCUGUCAGUGUGAAGAUGGACAAUAGAUCUUUAGAGGAGUACCUUGUUUGUAAUCUAAGCCAUCAUUGUCUUCUGUGUGUAGUGUACAGACUGGAUAGUCUAAAUGAGGUGAUGCAAUGGAUGAGGUGUGUGUUCUAUGGUCAUGUCUGGGAGAUGAAUGGAGUCUAGUCUAUAGCAAUCUGUGUUGCAAAAAUUUAGUUCCGGUUCUAAUCCGGGA